AGUAACGAAUAUUCCGCAAUGGGCGCAAGCCUGACGGAGCGACGCCGCGUGUGGGAUGAAGUCCUUCGGGAUGUAAACCACUGUCAGGGAUUACCAAGCAAAGGGAGUUAACAGCUCCCGGCGUUGAGGAGUCCCACAGGAAGCCACGGCUAACUUCGUGCCAGCAGCCGCGGUAAGACGAAGGUGGCAAGCGUUGUUCGGAAUCACUGGGCUUAAAGAGCACGUAGGCGGCUCAUCAAGCGUCUUGUGAAAGCCCCCGGCUUAACCGGGGAAUUGCAGGGCGAACUGAUGGGCUUGAGGCAGGUAGGGGCGAGUGGAACUCUUGGUGGAGCGGUGGAAUGCGUAGAUAUCAAGAGGAACGCCGGCGGCGAAGGCGACUCGCUGGGCCUGUCCUGACGCUGAGGUGCGAAAGCCAGGGGAGCGAACGGGAUUAGAUACCCCGGUAGUCCUGGCCCUAAACGAUGUCCACUAGGUCGGAGGCUUUCUGACAAGGUUCCGGCCGAAACAAAAGCGAUAAGUGGACCGCCUGGGGAGUACGGUCGCAAGGCUAAAACUCAAAGGAAUUGACGGGGGCUCACACAAGCGGUGGAGCAUGUUGCUCAAUUCGAUGCAACGCGAAGAACCUUAUCCUGGGCUUGACAUGCGCGGAUGCCCGCUGGGAAACCAGCUUGGCUGCCCUUCGGGGUGAAACGUGCACAGGUGCUGCAUGGCUGUCGUCAGCUCGUGUCGUGAGAUGUUGGGUUAAGUCCCGUAACGAGCGAAACCCUUGUCGCUAGUUGCCAGCGGGUUAUGCCGGGAACUCUAGCGAGACUGCCGGUGUCAAACCGGAGGAAGGUGGGGAUGACGUCAAGUCCUCAUGGCCUUUAUGCCCAGGGCUGCAAACGUGCUACAAUGGCCGGUACAAACCGACGCGAAACCGCGAGGUGGAGCAAAUCGGAAAAAAGCGGCCCCAGUUCGGAUUGGAGUCUGCAAUUCGACUCCAUGAAGUCGGAAUCGCUAGUAAUCGCGUAUCAGAACGACGCGGUGAAUGUGUUCCUGAGCCUUGUACACACCGCCCGUCAAGUCAUGGAAGCCGGGAGCGCCCGAAGUCGGUCCAAAUCAGGGCUGCCGAAGGUGAGCUCGGUAACUGGGACU
rnacentral:rRNA from 1 species